rnacentral:rRNA from 1 species
UACGUAGGUGGCUAGCGUUGUCCGGAUUUACUGGGCGUAGAGAGCGCGCAGGCGGUCGUUCAAGUCGAGUGUGAAAGCCCCCGGCUCAACUGGGGAGGGUCACUCGAUACUGAUCGACUUGAAGGCGGGAGAGGGAAGCGGAAUUCCCGGUGUAGUGGUGAAAUGCGUAGAUAUCGGGAGGAACACCAGUGGCGAAGGCGGCUUUCUGGCCCGUUCUUGACGCUGAGGCGCGAAAGCUAGGGUAGCAAACGGG